rnacentral:lncRNA from 1 species
AACACAACAUACUUUCAUUCAAUCUCGACUCGUUCGGUUACAAUAAACAGAGGGAAUAAACCAUCCUCUUUGAUUAAAAUGAUAAACUACAAUCACAAAAGCAGAUAAGUAGGAUAGUUCUUCAUGAGAAGAUGACAGCGAAUUCAAGACCAAGCUCAAAUGCGUCGAUAAAACCUUCACGACCCCUUUACGAUCGGAAAGCUGAGAAAUAGUCACAAGUGACGUUAACAUCCAAUCUUCACCUCGGAGAAUCGCCGAAACGAAACCCGUUGCAUCUUCAGGCCCCAAACGAACCGCUGCGCAAGAUAGCAAAACGGAUAUAGAUAUGGAUGGACACUUCCAUUUAAUGUUUGGAAGGGAAACACUCCUUAACAAGGAGGUAAUGGUUUGCUUCUCCAAGGAGAAGGCUGCUAGUGAUGAUGAAGUCGAACUCGAUGAAUCCACCGGCAAAUGAGUGAAUAAUAAACUCUUCGCACAAGAGAGAUAAGACCAUAU